rnacentral:rRNA from 1 species
AACGAACGCUGGCGGCAGGCUUAACACAUGCAAGUCGAGCGCAUCCUUCGGGGUGAGUGGCAGACGGGUGAGUAACGCGUGGGAACGUGCCCUUCAGUUCGGGAUAACCCAGGGAAACUUGGGCUAAUACCGGAUACGUGCGAGAGCAGAAAGAUUUAUCGCUGAAGGAUCGGCCCGCGUCUGAUUAGCUGGUUGGUGGGGUAAUGGCCCACCAAGGCGACGAUCAGUAGCUGGUCUGAGAGGAUGAUCAGCCACAUUGGGACUGAGACACGGCCCAAACUCCUACGGGAGGCAGCAGUGGGGAAUAUUGGACAAUGGGCGCAAGCCUGAUCCAGCCAUGCCGCGUGAGUGAUGAAGGCCUUAGGGUUGUAAAGCUCUUUCGUCCGGGACGAUAAUGACGGUACCGGAAGAAGAAGCCCCGGCUAACUUCGUGCCAGCAGCCGCCGUAAAAC